rnacentral:rRNA from 1 species
GUGCCAGCAGCCGCGGUAAUACCGGCGCCUCAAGUGGUAGUCGCUUUUAUUGGGCCUAAAACGUCCGUAGCCGGUCUGAUACAUUCGUGGGUAAAUCAACCAGCUUAACUGGUUGAAUUCUGCGAGGACGGUCAGACUUGGGACCGGGAGAGGUGUGGGGUACGCUCAGGGUAGGGGUAACAUCCUGUCAUCCUGAGCGGACCACCUGUUGCGAAGGCGCCACACUAGAACGGAUCCGACGGUCAGGGACGAAGCCUAGGGGCACGAACCGGAUUAGAUACCCGGGUAGUCCUAGGUGUAAACGCUGUGAACUUGAUGUUGGGGGUGCUCCGAUCACUCUCAGUGUCGAAACGAAAGUGAUAAUUCCACUGCCUGGGAAGUACGGUCGCAAGGAUGAAACUUAAAGGAAUUGGCGGGGGAGCACCGCAACCUGAGGAUUGUGCGGUUUAAUUGGAUUCAACGCCAGACAACUCACCAUAUCCGACGGAUAAAUGAAGGUCAGUGUAAUGAACUUACCGGAUUGUUCGAGAGGUAGUGCAUGGCCUCCGUCACUUCCUACCGCUCGGCUUUCUGUUUAUUCAGAUAACGAACGACACCCUCUUCUCUAUUUGCUAAGUGGAUAUCCCGAUCCAGUGCACUACAGCGAGACCGCCGGCACUAAAUCAGAAGAAGGGGAGGCCAACGGUAGGUCAGUAUGCUCCGAAUGCUAUGGGCUACACGCCCCAUACAAAGGACAGGACAAUGGGCUGCUGCUCCGAAAGGAAUGAUAGCUAUCCAAAAACCUGUUAGUAGUUCGGAUGGAGGGCCAUAACUCGCCCUCAUGAAGGUGGAUUAGGUAGUAAUCGAUAUCAAAAAGGCGCGGUGAAUAUGCCCCUGCUCUUGCGCACCCCGC